rnacentral:rRNA from 1 species
GUCGAGUGCGCGGUUUGUAGCAAUACAACUGGCGCACGGCGCACGGGUGCGUAACACGUGGGCAAUCUGCCCUCCGAUGGGGAAUAACUCCGGGAAACCGAAGCUAAUUCCGCAUAACAUUCCCUGGACUCCGGUUCGGGGAUUCAAAGCAGCAAUGCGUCGGAGGAGGAGCCCGCGCCCGAUUAGCUAGUUGGUAGGGUAACGGCCUACCAAGGCUUUGAUCGGUAGCUGGUCUGAGAGGAUGGCCAGCCACACUGGAACUGAGACACGGUCCAGACUCCUACGGGAGGCAGCAGUGGGGAAUCUUGCGCAAUGGGCGAAAGCCUGACGCAGCGACGCCGCGUGGGGGAUGAAGCUUCUCGGAGUGUAAACCCCUUUCGACUGGGACGAAUGCCUCGCAAGAGGAGUGACGGUACCAGUAGAAGAAGCCCCGGCUAACUACGUGCCAGCAGCCGCGGUAAGACGUAGGGGGCCAGCGUUGUUCGGAAUUACUGGGUGUAAAGGGUUCGUAGGCGGUGUGGCAAGUCGGGAGUGAAAUUUCUGGGCUUAACUCAGAAGCUGCUUCCGAAACUGCUGUGCUCGAGUGUGGGAGAGGCGCGUGGAAUUGCAGGUGUAGCGGUGAAAUGCGUAGAUAUCUGCAGGAACACCCGUGGCGAAAGCGGCGCGCUGGACCACUACUGACGCUGAGGAACGAAAGCUAGGGGAGCAAACAGGA